rnacentral:rRNA from 1 species
GAUGAACGCUAGCAGCAGGCUUAACACAUGCAAGUCGAGGGGUAGAAGUCUUCGGACUUUGAGACCGGCGCACGGGUGCGUAACGCGUAUGCAAUCUGCCUUGUACAAAGGGAUAGCCCAGAGAAAUUUGGAUUAAUACCUUAUAGUAUAUAGAUGUGGCAUCACAAUUAUAUUAAAGAUUUAUCGGUACAAGAUGAGCAUGCGUCCCAUUAGCUAGUUGGUAUGGUAACGGCAUACCAAGGCAAUGAUGGGUAGGGGUCCUGAGAGGGAGAGCCCCCACACUGGUACUGAGACACGGACCAGACUACUACGGGAGGCAGCAGUGAGGAAUAUUGGUCAAUGGGCGCAAGCCUGAACCAGCCAUGCCGCGUGCAGGAUGAAGCAUCUAUGGUGUGUAAACUGCUUUUGUACGGGAAGAAACACCUCUUCGUGAAGAGGCUUGACGGUACCGUAAGAAUAAGGAUCGGCUAACUCCGUGCCAGCCGCCGCGGUAA